rnacentral:rRNA from 1 species
UACAGAGGUGGCAAGCGUUGUUCGGAAUUGCUGGGCGUAAAGGGCGCGUAGGCGGCCCUCUUAGUCGGACGUGAAAUCCCCAGGCUUAACUUGGGAACUGCGUCCGAUACUGGAGGGCUUGAGUGCGGGAGAGGGAUGUGGAAUUCCAGGUGUAGCGGUGAAAUGCGUAGAUAUCUGGAGGAAUACCGGUGGCGAAGGCGGCAUCCUGGACCGGCAUUGACGCUGAGGAGCGAAAGCCAGGGGAGCAAACGGG